rnacentral:rRNA from 1 species
ACGUAGGGGGCGAGCGUUGUCCGGAAUCAUUGGGCGUAAAGGGCGUGUAGGCGGUUUUGUAAGUCAGAUGUGAAAACUUGAGGCUCAACUUCAAGCCUGCAUCUGAAACUACAUCACUUGAGGGCAGGAGAGGAAAGUGGAAUUCCAUGUGUAGGAGUGAAAUGCGGAAAUAUAUGGAAGAACACCAGUGGCGAAGGCGUCUUUCCGGACUGACCCUGACGCUGAGGCGCGAAAGCCAGGGGAGCGAACCG